rnacentral:rRNA from 1 species
GGCGGCACGCCUAACACAUGCAAGUCGAACGCAGUAGCAAUACUGAGUGGCAGACGGGUGAGUAACAUGUGGGAAUCUGCCUUGUGGUUCAGGACAACAUUGGGAAACCGAUGCUAAUACUGGAUAAGCCCUUACGGGGAAAGUUUUAAUGCCAUAAGAUGAGCCCGCAUUUGAUUAGUUAGUUGGUGAGGUAAUGGCUCACCAAGACAAUGAUCAAUAGCUGAUCUGAGAGGAUGAUCAGCCACACUGGGACUGAGACACGGCCCAGACUCCUACGGGAGGCAGCAGUGGGGAAUCUUGCACAAUGGAGGAAACUCUGAUGCAGCGAUGCCGCGUGAGUGAAGAAGGCCUUUGGGUUGUAAAGCUCUUUUGUAGGGGAAGAUAAUGACUGUACCCUAAGAAUAAGGUCCGGCUAACUUCGUGCCAGCAGCCGCGGUAAUACGAAGGGACCUAGCGUAGUUCGGAAUUACUGGGCGUAAAGCGCGCGUAGGCCGUUGAGUUAGUUAAUUGUGAAAUCCCAAAGCUUAACUUUGGAACUGCAAUUAAAACUGCUCGACUAGAGUUUGAUAGAGGAAAGCGGAAUACAUAGUGUAGAGGUGAAAUUCGUAGAUAUUAUGUAGAACACCAGUUGCGAAGGCGGCUUUCUGGAUCAACACUGACGCUGAGGCGCGAAAGUAUGGGUAGCAAAGAGGAUUAGAUACCCUCGUAGUCCAUACCAUAAACGAUGAUUGCUAGAUGUUGGAAAUUUAUUUUCAGUAUCGCAGCUAACGCAUUAAGCAAUCCGCCUGGGG